rnacentral:lncRNA from 1 species
GAGAUCAGAGACGACCCAAAAGCCCAGAAUCUGUUCUCCAACAAUGGCGACGAGCCUGCUUUCAAUUUCAGCGGCAAGGAUAAGAUCGUGGGACAGGAGGAAGACUUCAAAACAGUGACGGGGUGGCUGCAGGCGGACGACAAAGCGCGGCUGGUGAUUCCGAUCACCGGGCUGCCCGGCAUCGGAAAACUACUCUUGCUAGAAGUAUCUACGACGACAAACAAACCAGGAUCCAGUUCAACAUUCGUGCUUGGGUGACUGUAUCUCAAGACGUGAACUACCAAGAGGUCUUCACCAAGAUCUUGAACACCAUGGAGAGCAAGAACUUUCAAGCAGGCCACUACGCCACCCAGGGCGACGAGCAUACACUGCUCACUAAGCUGCAUCAGGAACUCUACAAUCUCAAAUACUUAAUCGUGGUGGAUGAUGUGUGGGAGACAAAAGCUUGGGAUCGAAUAGCAAUGGCGUUGCCGGAUAAGGAGAACGGGAGUCGAAUUCUUCUCACCACCAG